UCUGUUCCGGAAUGUAAGGAGUUUGGGGUGUUACGUACAAAAUAAUUUGCACUACAAAAUAUAGCGACUUGCCCGUUUUGCCCCUCCACCACCCACUCGUGGAGCACACCUGCUCCACUCGCUGGCCACUCCACCCACGCCGCCGCCCUCUCCCUGGCGCGCGCCGCUGCCCCCGCCCUCUCCCUGGCCCGCGCCGCCGCUUGCCCCUCUCCGUGGCGUGCGUAGCCGCCGCCCUAUCCUCUAGCAUGCGUCGCCGCUGGCCGAUGCCGCUUCUCAACCGCGCGCAGAGCCACCUGCUCGCAUCGCUCCACCCCCUCGCCUUGGUCCACCCGCUCCUCCCAUGUCGCCGCCGCUCCCUGUCUCCCUAGCGCACAUCGCCGCUGCAACCUCUCAAUUGCCGUCCUCUCCAACAAAACUACCGCAUCGAGGUCGACUUCAAAAUGCAUUUUUUUUCCUCCACUGGCGACCAGAUUUACAGCGGCGGUGCUCGAUCUGAGAGAGCCAUGGUGAGGGCGGAGCUCCAAUCGUGGUGUUGGCAGUGGUGCGGAGCUCCAAUCGUAGCCAGAGAAGGCCACCUUCCAGAUCUUGGCGAAUGCACGGAGGAUGAGGUGGUUGUGGUGGUGCGGUGCCUUGAGGGAUUCGAACCGGUGGAGGAGCUUCCGCAGCUCGUCGCCGUCCACGAUCUUCGGUGGCGUCCUGGAGAGAGCGGACGGUGCGCUCUAUUUCGCCGAGCUGGAGCACGAGUGCGGCCACGCUGGGCGUGCUCCUCACGACGGAGGGCGACCCGCGACGCGACCUGGAACCAGGUCAUCUUUUGGCUCACCGGCGGCAGCGCAGGGCGUGUUCUUACCAAGGGAGGAGCAUGCCUGAAGAAGACGAACAAAUCAAAGACAUCCAGUGCCUAAUCGAGGGAAUUUUAUCAGUUCGAUCCUUGCAUUUAGUACGACACAAGCUGAUGAUUCUGAAGAUCUCUGUUGUUGUAUCUUCUCAGUAAGCCAAAAUUUGCACAAAUCACAUAUAAAGGAAAAGGAGUGGUGUACCCACCUAUUUUUGGGAAUUCACUGUUCUUGAUGUCAUUUCUAACCACACCUCCGUCAGAAGUCUGCCCCGUGGGCAGCGACUGAGGUCGGGCCGCCGCGUGCGCCCUGCCACCGUCCGCGCCGUGGCGGCGAGUGAGGCCGGGCCGCCGCGCACCCUGCCACCGUCCGGGCCUUCGUCUUCCACGGCGAAUCGACCGCACCGCCGGCCACCCCUUCUUCCAGCUCCAAGAUGUGGAGGCGACUGAGGCUGUCCGGGCCGUCGCGUUAGCUGGCCCAGGAAAUACAGUGCGGCGCCAUGGAUGUUCCGCUCAUCGCCGCAAUCGGCCAGGUGGGGACAUGUUGGCUCGCUCCGCCCAGCUCAUCGGCGGCCCCCGGCGACCCCAGCUAGCACGCUGCUCCGAGGCCCCUCAUUGACCCCCGUGGAGGCGGCGAGCGUGCUGAAGCUCAGGCUGGAGGAGGACAUUGACUGCGUCAUGAACCCUCUCCUCUUCGGCUCUCCUUCAUUCUCGUCGGCAGAGGCAGAGGCUCAGACCUGGUCUUCCACGAAUCCGCAGCUGCGAGCCUCCUCGAGCGGCCCAAGUACGGCAUGCUCCUGGAUUUGAUGAUCGACGCCCAUGCCCACCUCGCCCGCGACUGGUCACUGGCUAUAGCUGUUGAGGAGUUGGAGAGGACAAAAUUAUAUGGAGAGCAAUUGCAUAUAUUCAGAAAAGCCUUCCUGUUUUAUAACAUAGGCGCAAGGAUGUAUUAUUCUUGAGCAGCUGGAGGAGUUGAUGGUCAGAUAAGUAGGUGGAUUCUUGGAUCAGUCCACCAAUUUACAGAUUUAAAAUAUUGGGUCAAGGGUAUAGCUGUUGAGAAAAGACCAACCGAUUUUGGUGGAAUCAGAUGAUGACCCUUUCAGUUUUUGGUUAGACAAAGGCCAACCAUCUAAGGUGGAAUCAAAGGGUAUUGGCUAUUACGGAAGGAGUAUUCCAUAGAGAAAAUUAAUCCAGAGAGCACAUAACUUGGCAAAAUGAAAUUCUGGACCAGCAUCACAUGAAAUUGUGAAGGCAUUACUGGACACACAAUCUAGAGUAACUCAAGUGAGCAACAAAGCUGGCAGGGUGAAUGCAUUCUUACAAUAACAUAAUGUCUUCCAUUAUCCGCGCAAGUAGUAGGAGUAAAAUGGUGGCUAAUUAGAAAUAUUUAUGUAGUGGUGUCGAUGUGUUCACUGCUCUUUCUGGUGCUGUUGGAGCUCUAUAUGGUACACUGCAUGGUGGCGCAAAUGAGAGAUUCAAUACAAUAGAGCAUUGGGCGCUUGGUAGCACCCCAGAGCAAGUGGUCAGGGUGAAUACAUGUACAGAGUAUAGAGUAUAGAGUAUGGACCUGGAAUCAUUUUGCUCGGACGGGUAGAAGCCUUAUACAUAUGGUUAUAGCACGAAAUUAGCUGAAGUGGACCAAAGUGUACUUUUUGUGUGAGUUGUUCCGUAGGGAAAGCGGUGUUCUCCUCGACGACAACAUCAACAGCCAUCAGGAUCAGUAAGGAGCAUCUGGAAUUAAAGAACAGAUAUGGUUACAAGCAAACUCCCUUUCAAUCUGAGAACAAAGGAUCUUCCCUUGGAAGGCUAUGCCGCCAAGAAAGCAGCGAAAAAGGGGGUGACCACCGCUACCAAGUAGCAGCAACCACAACCGCCCGACCCGCCUGGACCUGACGCUCCCGUGCAGGAGAAGCUGCGGUGGCUUGCUGACCAAGAGACUAGGAUUCCUCAUCCGAAGUAGUUUGGAGUGGACGGGGAGUACAAUUUCAUGGUCAUUGAUCUUCUUGGUCCAAGUCUGGAAGACUUAUUCAACUAUUGCAACAGAAAAUUCACUCUUAAAAUAGUACUUAUGCUUGCUGAUCAGUUGAUUGCUAGGGUAGAGUACAUGCACUUGAGGGGCUUUCUUCAUCGUGAUAUAAAGCCGGAUAACUUUCUUAUGGGUUUAGGCCGUAGAGCAAGCCAGGAUUGGUUCUUACUGCUUGGUGGAACGGGAAGGGAGGCUAAGGAAACACAAGUUGUUGGUCUCUAUGCUUUAUAGUGUUGUUGGUGCUACAGAUCCUAUCAUGUGCUUCUUCUAAACAGGUUCACUUGCAUCUUAUAUAGGAUCAUCUAGAUGAUGUAGAUGAGCAAAUUUUUGUGAAUCUGUGAUCUUCAGCUCCUUUUGUAUUUCAGUGAUAACUAUUAAAGGCUAAUUUUAUUUCAAGGAGUUAAGCAUCAGUGUCGACCCAUUGUCGAAGUGGCCAUGGCUACGGAAGCCAGCUUGCACUUGAUCUCCAGAUUGUGUUGGAGGUUGCUAGCAGGAAAGAUUGUUAUCGUUUGAUCGGUUACAGAGGAUGGGUAUAGGGAAGGCGGCUUUCGCUGGUGUGUGAUACACUGAUUUCUCAACUAAUGGUGUACAUGCUAGCGGGAAAGAUUGUUAUCGUUCGUGUUUUGGUUGGUUACAGAGUAACCCAUUGAUUUGAAAGGAAGAGAUGAUGUCUCAGGCACCCAGAGAUUCCCAAUGGUUGUCCUACUGGGCGUCCGAUUAACCUCUCAUUAUCAGUGUUGCUUAUAUUUCCAUGCUAUACACUACCAUAACGGGAAAAAUAACAUGCUGCUCUUAGCAUCUGUCUAUAUCUCCACAAAAUUCUUUCAAGGUAACAAAGAUCUUCUCUAAUCUACCACUUCUUGAGUUGUGUGAUUUAACUGCCAGUGCCGAGGCAUUUGAUGCAAGACAGUCCAGGCUGUAACUUAUCUUACUCUCCUACAACAUCAUAAUUGUUGGAAUACUUACAUUUUCGUCGGCGAGGAUAGCAUGGUAGAUUAGAUCACCUCCUCUGUUGUUUUUUAUUCGACCAGAAAUAAGUUUCGCAGUUGCCUCCCAGGAUCUAUUGUAGAUAUGCAAUUGUUCCACAUUGCAGAAUGUAACAUGACUGCAAUAUAAACGGAGAAACAUGAGUAAAAUGUGAUGCUAAGAACAUGAGUAUGGCGACAGAGAACUUACCUUGGUGCCAUUACCCUCUUGGCGGUGUGGCGGCUGAGAAGGUAUUGACUCAGCAUGGUGGUAGAUUGAAAAUGGAUCAGCUGGACUGAGAUGAAGAUGGAUGACCUUAGCCUGGAGUUUUGUAUGCGUUUCGGUAAAGAAUUGAGAUAUGGUAAGAUGGUUCAUUCCUUUUUGCAAUUAGAUCGUUCUGGGGUCGUGAGUUUGGGCCGUGUGAUGGCAUGUAACCUUGUUACGUGAUUUGUGGAGAUGCGGUUUGGAACAGUUUUUGGAACCUUGUAAUUUAUUGUAAAGAAUUGAGAUAUGGUAAGAUGGUUCAUUCCUUUUUGCAA